UAUAGACUCCCUCCGUCCGAAAAUACUUGUCAUCAAAAUUAAUAAAAGGGAAUGUAUCUAGAUGUAUUUUAGUUCUAGAUACAUCCCUUUUUAUCCAUUUUGAUGACAAGUAUUUUCGGACGGAGGGAGUACUAG
rfam:Triticum aestivum genome assembly, contig: Triticum_aestivum_CS42_TGACv1_scaffold_374122_5AL